CCCUUAGAUGUUCUGGGCUGCACGCGCGCUACACUGAUGCGCUCAACGAGUUUACGAACUUGCCCGGAAGGGUUGGUUAAUCUUUUUAAAACGCAUCGUGAUGGGGAUAGAUUAUUGCAAUUAUUAAUCUUCAACGAGGAAUUCCUAGUAAGCGCGAGUCAUCAGCUCGCACUGAUUACGUCCCUGCCCUUUGUACACACCGCCCGUCGCUCCUACCGAUUGAGCGGUCCGGCGAGCGACAGAGACUGUGCUGUUUGCGGCAACGUGGAUAGUGCGGGAACUUUUGCAAGCCUUAUCGCUUAGAGGAAGGAGAAGUCGUAACA
rnacentral:rRNA from 1 species